AUGGCGGAGGAACCGUCCGCCAAGCGUCAUCAUGCCGAGACGUCGGACAAGAGCAGCAACCUCAUCGACAUUCACGUCCCCGGCGAGAAGCGCGAGUACACAACAACCCUCAAAGGGGUUCAGCUCCACUACAAUGAGACACUGGAGAUCGUCUGCACCAGCAUACCAGAAAAGGCCGACAAGGUGAUCUCCAGGCUCUGGAAGAAGCUUGGCGGCAAGAGUCCGAAUCGUAGGAUCGUCGGCGUUGGUGUGCACUACACCAACAAAGGCGAACCUCCCUAG
rnacentral:rRNA from 1 species